rnacentral:ncRNA from 1 species
CUUAUCAAGAGUGGUUGAGGGAACGGCCCUGUGAAACCCGGCAACCUGCCAAUGCGGCAAGGUGCCAAUUCCGUCGGCGACAUGCCGGAAGAUGAG